CACGUAGGGUGCGAGCGUUGUCCGGAAUUAUUGGGCGUAAAGAGCUCGUAGGCGGUGUGUCGCGUCGGCCGUGAAAACCUGCAGCUUAACUGUGGGCUUGCGGUCGAUACGGGCAUCACUGGAGUUCGGCAGGGGAGACUGGAAUUCCUGGUGUAGCGGUGAAAUGCGCAGAUAUCAGGAGGAACACCGGUGGCGAAGGCGGGUCUCUGGGCCGAUACUGACGCUGAGGAGCGAAGCGUGGGGAGCAAACAGG
rnacentral:rRNA from 1 species